CAAAGCCGUUUGGAUAUGUUUGUGUGAAAGAUGGGCAAGUGAAGACUUUAAGAACCUAUCAAGGCGGAACAAACAUAAUAGGUCCAAUCAAAUUAUAAAUCACACGUGUGGCAGGAAGUCUUUUGUUAGGCUAAUGGAGGAAAAGCGGGAACAAGCUCAAAAUUAUGUUGCUUUUUAUAAAGAGGUGCAUUGGUCUA